rnacentral:rRNA from 1 species
GACGAACGCUGGCGGCGUGCCUAAUACAUGCAAGUAGAACGCUGAAGGAGGAGCUUGCUUCUCUGGAUGAGUUGCGAACGGGUGAGUAACGCGUAGGUAACCUGCCUGGUAGCGGGGGAUAACUAUUGGAAACGAUAGCUAAUACCGCAUAAGAGUAGAUGUCGCAUGACAUUUGCUUAAAAGGUGCAAUUGCAUCACUACCAGAUGGACCUGCGUUGUAUUAGCUAGUUGGGGAGGUAACGGCUCACCAAGGCAACGAUACAUAGCCGACCUGAGAGGGUGAUCGGCCACACUGGGACUGAGACACGGCCCAGACUCCUACGGGAGGCAGCAGUAGGGAAUCUUCGGCAAUGGACGGAAGUCUGACCGAGCAACGCCGCGUGAGUGAAGAAGGUUUUCGGAUCGUAAAGCUCUGUUGUAAGAGAAGAACGAGUGUGAGAGUGGAAAGUUCACACUGUGACGGUAUCUUACCAGAAAGGGACGGCUAACUACGUG